UACGGGAGUGGCAAGCGUUAUCCGGAAUCAUUGGGCGUAAAGCGCCUGUAGGUUGUUUAAUAAGUCUGUUGUUAAAGACUAGGGCUCAACCCUAGGAAAGCAAUGGAAACUACUAGACUUGAGUAUGAUAGGGGUAGAGGGAAUUUCUAGUGUAGCGGUGAAAUGCGUAGAUAUUAGGAAGAACACCGGUGGCGAAGGCGCUCUACUGGAUCAUUACUGACACUCAGAGGCGAAAGCUAGGGUAGCAAAAGGGAUUAGAUACCCCUGUAGUCCUAGCCGUAAACGAUGGAUACUAGAUGUUGUGCUUUUUGUACAGUAUCGUAGCUAACGCGUUAAGUAUCCCGCCUGGGGAGUACGCUCGCAAGGGUG
rnacentral:rRNA from 1 species